AUUUAUAUAUACUAAAGCCUCUGCUCGAAUAAAACAUCCAUGUAAAAUCCAAUUUCCUCAGAAUCUCUUUUGGAGUCUGGGCCUAAGAUGGAGUAGGUAACCCCAGCGGUAACAGCCUGAACCGCUCCUGCUGGCUGCAAAGCUCCAGGUCAGCUUCUAGGGAGGAGGCCUGGGAGGAGGAAGACGUGUGAUGAGCUGAAAGAAACUGGAAGGUGCCAGGGCUUGAGGGGAGAGACUGUCCCUAAAGCACCGUCAGGUAAGUUACCUCCCACUGAUUACCUGGAGCUGGGAAGCUUUAGGGAUGGA
rnacentral:lncRNA from 1 species